GGUUAAGUUAGAAAGGGCGCACGGUGGAUGCCUUGACACUAGGAGUCGAUGAAGGACGGGACUAACGCCGAUAUGCUUCGGGGAGCUGUAAGUAAGCUUUGAUCCGAAGAUUUCCGAAUGGGGAAACCCACCAUACGUAAUGGUAUGGUAUCCUUAUCUGAAUACAUAGGGUAAGGAAGACAGACCCAGGGAACUGAAACAUCUAAGUACCUGGAGGAAGAGAAAGCAAAUGCGAUUUCCUGAGUAGCGGCGAGCGAAACGGAACAUAGCCCAAACCAAGAGGCUUGCCUCUUGGGGUUGUAGGACAUUCUAUACGGAGUUACAAAGGAACGAGGUAGACGAAGCGACCUGGAAAGGUCCGUCGUAGAGGGUAACAACCCCGUAGUCGAAACUUCGUUCUCUCUUGAAUGUAUCCUGAGUACGGCGGAACACGUGAAAUUCCGUCGGAAUCUGGGAGGACCAUCUCCCAAGGCUAAAUACUCCCUAGUGAUCGAUAGUGAACCAGUACCGUGAGGGAAAGGUGAAAAGCACCCCGGAAGGGGAGUGAAAGAGAUCCUGAAACCGUGUGCCUACAAAUAGUCAGAGCCCGUUAACGGGUGAUGGCGUGCCUUUUGUAGAAUGAACCGGCGAGUUACGAUCCCGUGCGAGGUUAAGCUGAAGAGGCGGAGCCGCAGCGAAAGCGAGUCUGAAUAGGGCGUUUAGUACGUGGUCGUAGACCCGAAACCAGGUGAUCUACCCAUGUCCAGGGUGAAGUUCAGGUAACACUGAAUGGAGGCCCGAACCCACGCACGUUGAAAAGUGCGGGGAUGAGGUGUGGGUAGCGGAGAAAUUCCAAUCGAACCUGGAGAUAGCUGGUUCUCCCCGAAAUAGCUUUAGGGCUAGCCUUAAGUGUAAGAGUCUUGGAGGUAGAGCACUGAUUGGACUAGGGGUCCUCAUCGGAUUACCGAAUUCAGUCAAACUCCGAAUGCCAAUGACUUAUCCUUAGGAGUCAGACUGCGAGUGAUAAGAUCCGUAGUCAAAAGGGAAACAGCCCAGACCGCCAGCUAAGGUCCCAAAGUGUGUAUUAAGUGGAAAAGGAUGUGGAGUUGCUUAGACAACUAGGAUGUUGGCUUAGAAGCAGCCACCAUUUAAAGAGUGCGUAAUAGCUCACUAGUCGAGUGACUCUGCGCCGAAAAUGUACCGGGGCUAAAUACACCACCGAAGCUGCGGAUUGAUACCAAUGGUAUCAGUGGUAGGGGAGCGUUCUAAGGACAGUGAAGUCAGACCGUAAGGACUGGUGGAGUGCUUAGAAGUGAGAAUGCCGGUAUGAGUAGCGAAAGACGGGUGAGAAUCCCGUCCACCGAAUGCCUAAGGUUUCCUGAGGAAGGCUCGUCCGCUCAGGGUUAGUCAGGACCUAAGCCGAGGCCGACAGGCGUAGGCGAUGGACAACAGGUUGAUAUUCCUGUACCACCUCUUUAUCGUUUGAGCAAUGGAGGGACGCAGAAGGAUAGAAGAAGCGUGCGAUUGGUUGUGCACGUCCAAGCAGUUAGGCUGAUAAGUAGGCAAAUCCGCUUAUCGUAAAGGCUGAGCUGUGAUGGGGAAGCUCCUUAUGGAGCGAAGUCUUUGAUUCCCCGCUGCCAAGAAAAGCUUCUAGCGAGAUAAAAGGUGCCUGUACCGCAAACCGACACAGGUAGGCGAGGAGAGAAUCCUAAGGUGUGCGAGAGAACUCUGGUUAAGGAACUCGGCAAAAUGACCCCGUAACUUCGGGAGAAGGGGUGCUUUCUUAACGGAAAGCCGCAGUGAAUAGGCCCAAGCGACUGUUUAGCAAAAACACAGCUCUCUGCGAAGCCGUAAGGCGAAGUAUAGGGGGUGACACCUGCCCGGUGCUGGAAGGUUAAGGAGAGGGGUUAGCGUAAGCGAAGCUCUGAACUGAAGCCCCAGUAAACGGCGGCCGUAACUAUAACGGUCCUAAGGUAGCGAAAUUCCUUGUCGGGUAAGUUCCGACCCGCACGAAAGGUGUAACGAUUUGGGCACUGUCUCAACCAGAGACUCGGUGAAAUUAUAGUACCUGUGAAGAUGCAGGUUACCCGCGACAGGACGGAAAGACCCCGUGGAGCUUUACUGUAGCCUGAUAUUGAAUUUUGGUACAGUUUGUACAGGAUAGGCGGGAGCCAUUGAAACCGGAGCGCUAGCUUCGGUGGAGGCGCUGGUGGGAUACCGCCCUGACUGUAUUGAAAUUCUAACCUACGGGUCUUAUCGACCCGGGAGACAGUGUCAGGUGGGCAGUUUGACUGGGGCGGUCGCCUCCUAAAGUGUAACGGAGGCGCCCAAAGGUUCCCUCAGAAUGGUUGGAAAUCAUUCGUAGAGUGCAAAGGCAUAAGGGAGCUUGACUGCGAGACCUACAAGUCGAGCAGGGACGAAAGUCGGGCUUAGUGAUCCGGUGGUUCCGCAUGGAAGGGCCAUCGCUCAACGGAUAAAAGCUACCCCGGGGAUAACAGGCUUAUCUCCCCCAAGAGUCCACAUCGACGGGGAGGUUUGGCACCUCGAUGUCGGCUCAUCGCAUCCUGGGGCUGUAGUCGGUCCCAAGGGUUGGGCUGUUCGCCCAUUAAAGCGGUACGCGAGCUGGGUUCAGAACGUCGUGAGACAGUUCGGUCCCUAUCCGUCGUGGGCGUAGGAAAUUUGAGAGGAGCUGUCCUUAGUACGAGAGGACCGGGAUGGACGCACCGCUGGUGUACCAGUUGUUCUGCCAAGGGCAUAGCUGGGUAGCUAUGUGCGGAAGGGAUAAGUGCUGAAAGCAUCUAAGCAUGAAGCCCCCCUCAAGAUGAGAUUUCCCAUAGCGUAAGCUAGUAAGAUCCCUGAAAGAUGAUCAGGUUGAUAGGUUCGAGGUGGAAGCAUGGUGACAUGUGGAGCUGACGAAUACUAAUAGAUCGAGGACUUAACCAU
rnacentral:rRNA from 1 species